AUGUCCAUGGCAGCACCACCGCCACGCCGCCGCCCCUCGCUCCCGUACGAGCUCGUCGAGGAGAUCCUCCUCCGCCUCCCACCCGACGACCCAGCCUGCCUCCUCCGCCUCUCCUUCGCCUGCAAGGCCUGGGGCCGCGCCGCCUCCCAGCCCGGCUUCCGCCGCCGAUUCAUCGAGCAGCAUCAGCAUCGGCCACCGCCCUUGAUCGGCUUCCUCCACAACUGGGAGGACGAGCGCGUCCCCCGCUUCCUCUCCACCACCGCCUCGCCCUUCUCCCUCCCCGCCCCGGACCGCGCCUCCUGGCUCGCCCUCGACUGCCGCCACGGCCGCGCCCUCUUCCUCUCAGAGGGAUCUGGUGCUCAGCAACUCCUUGUGUGGGAUCUAAACACGGGCAUCCGGCGGCGCAUACCAGUGCCCCCGCUGCACAGCAGCUACGUGUCCCCGACCGCGGCCGUGCUCUGCCCAGCGGACGGGUGCGACCACCGCGACUGCAACGGGGGCCCCUUCCGCGUGGUCUUCGUCUUCACCGUGUACCGACUUCAGAUCAUGUAUGCUGGUCUCACGUCGGUGUGCGUCUACUCGUCAGAGACUGGCACCUGGUCCGGUGCACUGAAGAAGAUUAGUCACAGAUCCGACGCAUUGAAGUUCACAUGUCAUUCCAGCCUGCUCCUUGGGAGGUCUCUGCUCUACUUCAUGUCCGACCGUGGGUUCAUCCUAGAGUAUGACUUGACCAGCAACGUCCUAAUUGGGUUCGAGACGCCGGACGUGAACUUUGACCCCAUAUUUAACCUCAUGGUGGCGGAAGAUGGUGGAAUAGGAGUUAGCGAAGGCUUCAGUUCCCAUCUCAAAUUGUGGUCAAGGGAGGAGGGUGAUGCAGAAUGGGUAAUUAGCCGGGUCAUCGACCUGCAAAAUUUGCUCCCACCUGCUGCUCUCGUGGAUGCAGAGGCUGAAGUGAUGGUAUUGGGAUUUGCCGAGGGAGUGAAUGUCAUUUUCGUUAACACGGUGGCUGGCCUCUUCACAAUCGAGCUACAGUCGGAGCGGGUGAAGAAGGUGUGUGAUAAUCAUGGCUUCUGUAAUUUGAUUCCAGUUGUCAGCUUCUGCACUCCUGUGGACCGUCUCAAAUACCAGGACCUGCUGCCGUCGAUCCCUAGUGAGGAUGUAGGUGAUGAGGAGGGGGGAGAGGAGGACAAAACAGUAGAUGAGGCACAGCAGCUGCUUGACAAGGGGUCCAAUACUAUCAAGGAAGGUGGCUUUGUCGACGCCGUUGAACGUGCCAGCCAUGACCUCAAUGCCAGUGAACAGAGCCAGGUGAAUGAUUCUUUGGAUGAUGUUUCCAGGAGUGCAUCAAAUGAAGAAUCGGUGAAGGACACAGCCAGCGAAGAUGAUGCUAAGGACUCAAAGACCUCUGGUAGCAAUGGUGAGGAUGCUGCUCCAUCUUUGGAGAAAGGCGAUUCUUAA
rnacentral:rRNA from 1 species